AACGAACGCUGGCGGCAGGCUUAACACAUGCAAGUCGAACGCCCCGCAAGGGGAGUGGCAGACGGGUGAGUAACGCGUGGGAACAUACCCUUUCCUGCGGAAUAGCUCUGGGAAACUGGAAUUAAUACCGCAUACGCCCUACGGGGGAAAGAUUUAUCGGGGAAGGAUUGGCCCGCGUUGGAUUAGCUAGUUGGUGGGGUAAAGGCCUACCAAGGCGACGAUCCAUAGCUGGUCUGAGAGGAUGAUCAGCCACAUUGGGACUGAGACACGGCCCAAACUCCUACGGGAGGCAGCGGUGGGGAAUAUUGGACAAUGGGCGCAAGCCUGAUCCAGCCAUGCCGCGUGAGUGAUGAAGGCCUUAGGGUUGUAAAGCUCUUUCACCGAUGAAGAUAAUGACGGUAGUCGGAGAAGAAGCCCCGGCUAACUUCGUGCCAGCAGCCGCCGCCG
rnacentral:rRNA from 1 species